GUGAACGCCCUCACGGGCUUAUACUAUUCCAAACCUCUGUGAACCGUGCCUUCGGGGCUAUUUUACAAACAUGGUGUAAUGAACGUCAUAUAUCAUAACAAAACA
rnacentral:misc_RNA from 1 species